rnacentral:rRNA from 1 species
GACAGAGGGUGCAAACGUUGUUCGGAAUUACUGGGCGUAAAGCGUGUGUAGGCGGUCUCAUAAGUCGGAUGUGAAAGCCCCGGGCUCAACCCGGGAAGUGCACUCGAAACUGCGAGGCUAGAGUAUCGGAGAGGUUGGUGGAAUUCUCGGUGUAGAGGUGAAAUUCGUAGAUAUCCACAGGAACUCCGGUGGCGAAGGCGGCACGCUGGACCCCACCUGACGCUGAGGCGCGAAAGCCAGGGGAGCGAACGGG